GUAAAUUUCUGACCCACUGGAAUUGUGAUACAGUGAAUGAUAAGUGACAUAAUCUCUCUGUAAACAAUUGUUGGAAAAAUAACUUGUGUCAUGCACAAAGUUGAUGUCCUAACCGACUUGCCAAAACUAUAGUUUGUUAACAAGAAAUGUGUGGACUAACUAAACAGCAUACUGCUUAAAGGGCUGUUUUCAUUAGUGCAUACUGUAGCAAAACGAGCCUCUCUUAUUGGACAAGCUCAGGUUAGUCCCUCCACCACUGCAGUUUGGUUCCUAACGGGUCUAUUAAAACAACCUACUCCACGUUUAGUGGAACAAUGUCUCACCAUAUAUAUAAACAAGUGGGGAUUCUGUAGGACAGUUUGUCUGGUGAACUGGGUAAAGAGACUAGGUCUGCCUCCCAAAGGGCAACCUUUUCCCUAUGUAGUGCACUACUUUUGACCAGAACCCUAUGGGGUUCCCGUAAUAGGGACUGAUCCUAUGAUAUAUAACCCUUUCUCUUAGUGGUAUUUUACAGUUGCAGGAUGACAAUGCACUGACUACUGAACAGCUGUCAGCUGGCUAUGGGGCCUUGUGCUUGUCUGUUACAGCUACGCAGUCAGACCAAUAAUUAGCCAAGGUCUCCGGUGAUGUUUGGAAUAUAUAGCUAAUGCUGGGUCUCGGUCUAAAAUUCCCUAUAUAGUCCACUACCCCUAAUAGGCCCUAGUCAAAAGUAGUGCACUAUAUAGUUAGAAUAAAGUGCAAAUCAAUACUUGUUGUGCUGGCCUGGUAUGCAAAGACAUGUAUAAACCAAGUAACAUUUGAGUCAGAAUUUGACUUGUGUUGGGAAACAUCCAUAAACUGACAGGGUGUGUAUCCCAAAUGGCACCCUAUUCCCUAUGUAGUGCACUACUUUUGACCAGAACCCUAUAGAGAAUAGGGUGCCAUUUGGAACAUGUCCAAGGACUUCCGUUACCGUCAACCUUCGUACAUCCUUCCUAUGUGGUCACUUCUCUAGUGGUGUCAGGUGGUUUUAACGGUCACUGUAAUUAUUACUAUAGCAACAGGAGAAAGCAGGAGAGAGAACAGCUACAAUGUCACACACCAGAAUACAACCGAUUGUAUUUUAUUUAUUUAACUAGGCAAGUCAGUUAAGAACAAAUUCUUAUUUACAAUGACGGCCUACCGGGAAAAGCGGGUUAACUGCCUUGUUCAAGGGCAGAACGACAUAUUUUUAGCUCGGGGAUUCGAUCCAGCAACCUUUCAGUUACUGGCUCAAUGCUCUAACCACUAGGCUACCUGAUUGGACCUAAAUACUCCUGCUUGUAUUAACCUGAUUGUUUGAACUCAGAACACCAGGACUGUGUGAAAUAAUGCAGCAAUGAGUAAGCUACAGUCGUGGGACCUUUUGGCUGAGCUAGCCAUCAGCCCAGGUGGGUUUAGUACAGGUGGGCUGAGUUAGCCAUCAGCCCAGGUGGGCUGAGUUAGCCAUCAGCCCAGGUGGGCUGAGUUAGCCAUCAGCCCAGGUGGGCUGAGUUAGCCAUCAGCCCAGGUGGGCUGAGUUAGCCAUCAGCCCAGGUGGGUUUAGUACAGGUUGGCUGAGUUAGCCAUCAGCCCAGGUGGGUUUAGUACAGGUUGGCUGAGUUAGCCAUCAGCCCAGGUGGGUUUAGUACAGGUUGGCUGAGUUAGCCAUCAGCCCAGGUGGGUUUAGUACAGGUUGGCUGAGUUAGCCAUCAGCCCAGGUGGGUUUAGUACAGGUUGGCUGAGUUAGCCAUCAGCCCAGGUGGGUUUAGUACAGGUUGGCUGAGUUAGCCAUCAGCCCAGGUGGGUUUAGUACAGGUUGGCUGAGUUAGCCAUCAGCCCAGGUGGGUUUAGUACAGGUGGGCUGAGUUAGCCAUCAGCCCAGGUGGGUUUAGUACAGGUGGGCUGAGUUAGCCAUCAGCCCAGGUGGGUUUAGUACAGGUUGGCUGAGUUAGCCAUCAGCCCAGGUGGGUUUAGUACAGGUGGGCUGAGUUAGCCAUCAGCCCAGGUGGGUUUAGUACAGGUGGGCUGAGUUAGCCAUCAGCCCAGGUGGGUUUAGUACAGGUGGGCUGAGUUAGCCAUCAGCCCAGGUGGGUUUAGUACAGGUUGGCUGAGUUAGCCAUCAGCCCAGGUGGGUUUAGUACAGGUGGGCUGAGUUAGCCAUCAGCCCAGGUGGGUUUAGUACAGGUGGGCUGAGUUAGCCAUUAGCCCAGGUGGGUUUAGUACAGGUUGGCUGAGUUAGCCAUCAGCCCAGGUGGGUUUAGUACAGGUUGGCUGAGUUAGCCAUUAGCCCAGGUAGGUUUAGUACAGGUUGGCUGAGUUAGCCAUUAGCCCAGGUAGGUUUAGUACAGGUAGGCCGAGUUAGCCAUUAGCCCAGGUAGGUUUAGUACAGGUAGACUGAGUUAGCCAUUCAGCCCAGGUAGGUUUAGUACAGGUAGGCCGAGUUAGCCAUUAGCCCAGGUAGGUUUAGUACAGGUAGGCCGAGUUAGCCAUCAGCCCAGGUAGGUUUAGUACAGGUAGGCCGAGUUAGCCAUCAGCCCAGGUAGGUUUAGUACAGGUAGGCCGAGUUAGCCAUCAGCCCAGGUGGGUUUAGUACAGGUUGGCUGUGAGUCUUUCUGUGUGAGUCUCUAAGAGCUUUACACACCUGGAUUCUACAAUAUUUGCGCAUGAUUAUUUUCAAAAUUCUUCAAUCUCUGUCAACUUGGUUGUUAAACCUUUCAAGUAUUGCCAUAGAUUGUCAAGCAGAUUUAAGUCGAAACUGCCACUCGGGAACAUUCAACGUCUUCUUAUCCAGUGUAUAUUUGGCCUUGUGUUUUAGGUUAUUGUCCUGCUGAAAGGUGAAUUCAUCUCCCAGUGUCUUUGCCAGACAGCUAUUUUGAAGUCUUGCCAUAGAUUUUCAAGAAGAUUUAAGUAAAAACUGUAACUCAUCUGUAACAUUCACUUCUUAUUGGUAAACAACUCCAGUGUAUAUUUGGCCUUGUGUUUUAGGUUAUUGUCCUGCUGAAAGGUGAAUUCAUCUCCCAGUGUCUGGUGGAACGCAGACUGAACCAGGUUUUCCUCUAAGAUUGUGCCUGUACUUCGCCCCAAACAAACAUUAAAACUUCAUAUUCAGGACAAAAAGUGAAUUGAUUUGCCACAUUUUUUUGCACUAUUACUUUAGUGGAUUGCUGUGUUGUUUAGGUCAGUUUUCUCCUAUCACAGCCAUUAAACUAACGGUUUUAAAAGAUCA